rnacentral:lncRNA from 1 species
AGCAGGUAGGGGUGUCAGUUAACAUUUGGUAAAGGACAGUAAUGUGUCGACUUCAAAACCAAACUUUUCAUGCUCUGUGCCAAUUCUGUAAAGGACAGAUGUUUACUUUGGGAUAGACUGAAUAGCCAACUGAUUUUUUAAAAUAAAAUAAGAAAAUACAGGGACAGCUUGAAUAAAUCAAUAAUUACCAGAAUGUUGAUGCUAGCUCAAAUAACUUGAACACAGUUACAAGAUAUAAUGGUUACCAAGUAAUCAUCACAAAAUAAUAAGAAUAAAAGAUAAGGG